rfam:Dipodomys ordii contig_34439, whole genome shotgun sequence.
GGUGGCUCAGUGGUAGAGCACUUGCCUUGCAGGCGUGAGGCCCUGGGUUCGAUUCCUCAGCACCA